UACGAAGGGGGCUAGCGUUGCUCGGAAUCAUUGGGCGUAAAGCGCGCGCAGGCGGUUUCUUAAGUCUGAUGUGAAAGCCCACGGCUCAACCGUGGAGGGUCAUUGGAAACUGGGAAACUUGAGUGCAGAAGAGGAAAGUGGAAUUCCACGUGUAGCGGUGAAAUGCGUAGAGAUGUGGAGGAACACCAGUGGCGAAGGCGACUUUCUGGUCUGUAACUGACGCUAAGGCGCGAAAGCGUGGGGAGCGAACGGG
rnacentral:rRNA from 1 species